rnacentral:snoRNA from 1 species
CCCAGCUGUAGGCAACUGCUUAAGUUGCCUUGUACAUAGGCAAGUGUUUCACUGCUGGGAGAAAAGCAGCCAGUAGCUGGCAGGCAUUCUAGGUCUGGUUAAUGACAAA